UACGGAGGGUGCGAGCGUUAAUCGGAAUUACUGGGCGUAAAGCGCACGCAGGCGGUUUGUUAAGCUAGAUGUGAAAGCCCCGGGCUCAACCUGGGAUGGUCAUUUAGAACGGGCAGACUAGAGUCUUGGAGAGGGGAGUGGAAUUCCAGGUGUAGCGGUGAAAUGCGUAGAUAUCUGGAGGAACAUCAGUGGCGAAGGCGACUCCCUGGCCAAAGACUGACGCUCAUGUGCGAAAGUGUGGGUAGCGAACAGG
rnacentral:rRNA from 1 species